UACAGGGGGGGCAAGCGUUGUUCGGAAUUACUGGGCGUAAAGGGUCUGUAGGUGGCCCACUAAGUCAGACGUGAAAUCCCUCAGCUUAACUGGGGAACUGCGUCUGAUACUGGAUGGCUCGAGUGUGGGAGAGGAAUGCGGAAUUCCAGGUGUAGCGGUGAAAUGCGUAGAUAUCUGGAGGAACACCGGUGGCGAAGGCGGCAUUCUGGACCAUAACUGACACUGAGAGACGAAAGCCAGGGGAGCAAACAGG
rnacentral:rRNA from 1 species